rnacentral:rRNA from 1 species
UAAAGCAAGAAAGGGCGUAUGGGGAAUGCCUAGGCACACUCCGGCGAAGAAGGACGCAGCAAACAGCGAAAUGCGACGGGAAGCGGUAAGCACGCAAAGAUCCGUCGAUAUCCGAAUGGGGGAACCCGCAUGGAGUCAAAUCCAUGGAUCACAUGUUGAAUACAUAGACAUGAUGAGGCGAGACGCAGGGAACUGAAACAUCUAAGUACCUGCAGGAAGAGAAAAUAAGAAUGAUUUUCUGAGUAGCGGCGAGCGAAAGGGAAAGAGCCCAAACCGAUCUGAGGAUCGGGGUAGUAGGAUCAUCGAUAAAUCAAACAGAGGAUCAUAGAGGAAUCACAUGGGAAGGUGAGCGAGAGAGGGUGAGAGCCCCGUACUCGAAAUGAGAGACUGGAGAGAGAUGACACCUGAGUAGGGCGGGACACGAGGAAUCCUGUCUGAAUCGGCCGGGACCAUCCGGCAAGGCUAAAUACGAGAGUAGUGACCGAUAGUGAACCAGUACCGUGAGGGAAAGGUGAAAAGAACCCCGGGAGGGGAGUGAAAGAGAACCUGAAACCAUAUGCCUACAAGAAGUCAGAGCCCGUUAAAGGGUGAUGGCGUGCCUUUUGUAGAAUGAACCGGCGAGUUACUGUAUGGAGCGAGGUUAAGCAGGAUAUGCGGAGCCGAAGCGAAAGCGAGUCUUAAGAGGGCGCGAGUUGCAUGCAGUAGACCCGAAACCGGGUGAUCUAGCCAUGACCAGGUUGAAGUUGGGGUAAAACCCGAUGGAGGACCGAACCGACCCCCGUUGAAACGUUGGCGGAUGAGUUGUGGCUAGGGGUGAAAUUCCAAUCGAACCCGGAGAUAGCUGGUUCUCCCCGAAAUAGCUUUAGGGCUAGCGUCGAGAGAAGAGUUGCGUGAAGGUAGAGCACUGAAUAUGUGAUGGCCCCAUCUCGGGGUACUGAGCAUAAUCAAACUGCGAAUGUCACGCCAACAUGCUCGGCAGUCAGACAGCGGGUGAUAAGGUCCGUUGUCAAGAGGGAAACAGCCCAGACCAUCAGCUAAGGUCCCAAAAUGUAUGCUAAGUGGAAAAGGAUGUGGAGAUGUACAGACAACUAGGAGGUUGGCUCAGAAGCAGCCAUCCUUUAAAGAGUGCGUAACAGCUCACUAGUCGAAUGACUCUGCGCCGAUAAUUUACCGGGGCUAAGCAUACUACCGAAGCUAUGGAUCCCAAGGGAUGGUAGGGGAGCGUUCCAUGAACGGAGAAGUACGACCGAAAGGACGUGUGGAGAUCAUGGAAGAGAGAAUGCCGGUGUGAGUAGCGGAACGUGGGUGAGAAUCCCACGCACCGAAAACCCAAGGUUUCCAGAGGAAGGUUCGUCCGCUCUGGGUAAGUCGGGACCUAAGGCGAGGCCGAAAGGCGUAGUCGAUGGACAACAGGUAGAGAUUCCUGUACCCGUAUAUAUGUGAAGGAAUGACGGAGAGAGGAAGCUGCAGCCAGCGGCUGGAAGAGCUGGUGCAAGCGAGAUAUCGGGAUGGCAGGCAAAUCCACCAUCCGAAACGAGAAGGCGUGAAGCGUACGGAAAGCUACGGCGAGUACGGAAGGCAGUGGAGGAACUUCCAAGAAAAGUUUCUAACGUUAAGUAUAUAUGGCCCGUACCGAAAAUGGACACACAUGGGUGAGGAGAGAAUCCUAAGGUGAGCGAGAGAACUAUAGCUAAGGAACUCUGCAAAAUGACUCCGUAACUUAGGGAGAAGGAGUGCUCAUAGAGAUAUGAGCCGCAGUGAAACGGCCCAAGCGACUGUUUACCAAAAACACAGCUCUCUGCUAAGCCGCAAGGCGAAGUAUAGGGGGUGACGCCUGCCCGGUGCUGGAAGGUUAAGGGGAGGGGUUAACGCAAGUGAAGCCCUGAACUGAAGCCCCAGUAAACGGCGGCCGUAACUAUAACGGUCCUAAGGUAGCGAAAUUCCUUGUCAGGUAAGUUCUGACCC